rnacentral:tRNA from 1 species
GCGGCAAUAGCUUAACUGGUAUAGCGCCUGAUUAACCAAUCAGGAGAUGGCGUUCGAAUCGACCUUGCCGCU